CAAACCAUUGUCGGCUCCCUCUCCUUUCCCUCCCUCUCCACUCCUUUCCAUGGUGGCAGAUCUGAAGGGGACAAGGUCCUUGGUGCAAAGGGAAGUAGGCGGCAUUUGCUCCCUCCGCUUCCAGUGACACGUGCCUCCAUCUGUGCCAACCAACCUUGGCUGACCAACAGGUAGGCAUCCAUGGCGUUAACAACAGAGGGCACUUGUACACAAGGAUUCCUACUUCCAACUACUCAUGAGCUUCUGGCGGGUGGCGCAGUGAUUCCCUGCCCUUUUUACCACAGCCUCCCCACCAAUUGGUGGGUCUAGUGAGAUAUCUACAUACUGGGUAUCUUACUUAAGUUAAUUGUAUACCAAGUUCAUUUAUGUUUUUUGGCAGAUGGUGCUAUGUCUUGAAUCAAUUCUUUUUUCUGUAGGCAGGUAAUGCUAGAGCCAAAGGUAAUCAUGGCAAGUCGAAGGCUUGUCCUCUCGCUGAUUGAUGUGCUACCUGGCAGUGGAAGCAAUAUGGCAUCCCUUGGGAGGAGAACCAAAGAAUUGUUGGAAAUAUGCCCUAGAGGCAAUGAUGAAUAAUAAUUAUUAUAUUUCCUGUUUAAAGAUAAUCAUU